UACGGAGGAUCCGAGCGUUAUCCGGAUUUAUUGGGUUUAAAGGGUGCGUAGGCGGCCUAUUAAGUCAGGGGCGAAAGACGGUAGCUUAACUAUCGCAGUGCCUUUGAUACUGAUAGGCUUGAAUGUACUUGAGGUAGGCGGAAUGUGACAAGUAGCGGUGAAAUGCAUAGAUAUGUCACAGAACACCAAUUGCGAAGGCAGCUUACUAAAGUAUGAUUGACGCUGAGGCACGAAAGCGUGGGGAUCAAACAGG
rnacentral:rRNA from 1 species